AAAAAAGCAAAUCCUGGGUUUCCGUGUCCAACUUUAACUGUCCGUCUUAUAUGAAUUUUUUUUAUAAUUCGUAUUUUCAUUGUUGUUAGAUGAUAAAACAUGAUUAAUAUUUUAUGCGUGACUUGUCUUUUAAUUUUUUUUAAAUAAGACGGACGGUCAAACGUUGGGCACAGAAACCAGGGUUUAUCUUUUU
rnacentral:pre_miRNA from 1 species